UGCUAAUACAGUGGAUAAAAGCGCUUUCAUCCAGCCCCUAUCUAUAUCUUGUAGCUGUCACUCCAAUGAAGGCCAAACAGACCCUGCUGAUGUUUUGCAGUAUGAUCUAAUGCAGGUCAAGGUUAGUACAAGUUUCUAUAGUAUGAUGUUUUGAUAGAUAACAUGAUUUUUGAUGUUGUCCUGGCACAAAUGUAGACCAUGUAAAAGAAUAAAUAAUAUAAGAGUUCUGUUGGUUCUUC